AUGGAGGGGCUCCUACAUUGGGAUUUCUCCCCUGGCCAAGCAGUGGAGACACAGGUGCGUAAAAGGUUUGGUUCUACCGUCCAUUUCUCCCCUAUUGGAGGUGCAAAGGAAUUCUUCCUAGUGGUGGCAUUUUCCUAUGCCUCCUUCCCCCUUUCGGUUGAAUCAGUGGGUCUUGCCCUCCAAUGUUGCAUUGGUGGAUCCUCUUUGGGUUUCAAUGUCAAGCAUCUUGCUGGUCGGCAGUUUCGGUUUUCUGUGGCCUCAAACAAUGUUGGUCAUUUUGUGUAUGGUCUUAAGGAUCGGGUCUGGCCAGAUUUUGUUUGUCACUUCAAUCUAUAUAGGCACAAUGCUUGGUUUAAUUCUCAUUCGGAUCAAAAUUGGCAUUCCGACCAAGAGCUUACUGAGUUGGUUUCACGUUCUCCUUUGGCUAUCAAGACUAGGUUUAAUUUUCUGGCUUCUGAGGAUCAUCAACAUAAUCAUUCAGCCAAGGAGCUUGCAAAGUUUGGUCUUCUUCCUCCUUAG
rnacentral:rRNA from 1 species